GUCUAUGGCCAUGCCACCCUGAACAAGCCCGAUGUCUGAUCUCGGAAGCUAAGCAGGGUCGAGCCUGGUUAGUACUUGGAUGGGAGACCACCUAAGAAGACCAGAUGCUGUAGGCG
rnacentral:rRNA from 1 species